rnacentral:rRNA from 1 species
CGGCGGACGGGUGAGUAACGCGUGGGUAACCUGCCUCAUACAGGGGGAGUAACAGUUAGAAAUGACUGCUAAUACCGCAUAAGACCACAGCACCGCAUGGUGCAGGGGUAAAAACUCCGGUGGUAUGAGAUGGACCCGCGUCUGAUUAGUUAGUUGGUGGGGUAACGGCCUACCAAGGCGGCGAUCAGUAGCCGACCUGAGAGGGUGACCGGCCACAUUGGGACUGAGACACGGCCCAAACUCCUACGGGAGGCAGCAUG